AAGCAGGUUGUUACUCAGAAAACAGUUACUUGUGAAGGAACCAUGAACUGCAACUUCUUCCCCACUGAUUUGCUUCCUCCUUUUCAGUUACCUGCGGAUGGAGAUAUGGCCUCUAAGAUUGUUGAUCAAGAAGCCCCUGCACAGGAAGGAACUGUCAAAUUCAAAGGCGCCGCACUCCGAACAGAGCAAGUUCACAGCCACAGGGACUUACCUCCUGUUGUUUUAAGCUCAAGGAGAACCAAAGCUUUCACUGCUUCAAGAGACAUUCCUAAUACAGUGUAGAUCAAGUAGUACAGCUCUCAGAGGAAGUCCUUAUUAGAAUUGUAGAGAGAGUAAAUAGAUGUUUUUGUUUCUUUUUGUUCA